rnacentral:tRNA from 1 species
GCCUCUUUGGCGCAGUGGUAACGCGUAGCACUUGUACAAACAAAUAUGUUAUAUAAUAUGCUAAGAUCACAGGUUCGAUUCCUGUAGGAGGCA